UAAAAAAAGUCCCAAAUUCUAUUUGUCUCUUAGAUGGUUCACAGCUCAUCUUCGCCAAAUUGCAAAAAUCCCAAAUCAAGUCAUUUUGCUCGAAGACUUUUCAUAGCUCCUUUCUCCAUAGCUCAUCUUCGCCGUUCACGUCUCUUCCGUUGUUAUCUAUAAUCGCCGACUCAGUUCCUCUCUGCGUGGUUUCUCCAUAGACGCCGACUCAGCUCCCUUCUUUGCUCCUCCCAAAUCCUGUUGUUUCUCUUCACUGUUCAGCAAGGCACAACAAUUCCUUUUGCUCGGCCUACACUUGAGAUCUUUGCUGCAUUUGUUAAAUGGCCCAGGGUCAGUCCACAUGUACUGGAGGGGGAAGCUCAUCAAAAUGAUGUGGAAGUUAGAGAUAAUAAUGAGCAAGAUGGAGGAGAGCAUGGAGCUUAAAGCAGGCCAAUCCCAGAAGAAAUUAUGGCAGUUGGAACAUCACAACCAACUGUUGUGGCUACCAAAGAUGGUCGCAUUGGUGUCAAGAACCAAAUGAAGGAUGAGUUUUCAAACAUUUAUAUACGUUGGAGUAUGACUUAUUUAGCCAAGAGGAAAAUAGAGAUAUGAUGGAGAGAAACUGAAUGUGAUUAUGUAGCCAAUGCUUUUCCAGAUCUAUUAAUGAAAAAGAACCUCAUUUGCAGAGCCUCAUUUGUUCCUACCUCCAUAACAUAUAAAGAAAAUUCAAAGAGUCUCAAUAAUGGAAAGAAGCAAUUUUGCAAAUAGGAUUCUUGAACAUGGUAAUUCAAAAUUGAGAGAUCACAUUAUAUUCGAUUUCACAAUCGAGGUUUUAAAUUGUAGUCGCGGUUAUGAUUAUGUCACUGUCUUCGUUGAUGUGCAAUUGUGAUCUGUGAAUAUGUGACUUUACUCGAAAGAUGCGUCCGGUGUUUGACACUGAUAGGAUACUGGCACAUGUGAUUAUAUUAAAAUAUUUCAUAUUCUCAAAUUGCUAUGGUCGUGUUUGGUAUUCA